AUUGAACGCUAGCGGGAUGCUUUACACAUGCAAGUCGAACGGCAGCGCGGACUUCGGUCUGGCGGCGAGUGGCGAACGGGUGAGUAAUGUAUCGGAACGUGCCCAGUAGCGGGGGAUAACUACGCGAAAGCGUAGCUAAUACCGCAUACGCCCUACGGGGGAAAGCAGGGGAUCGUAAGACCUUGCACUAUUGGAGCGGCCGAUAUCGGAUUAGCUAGUUGGUGAGGUAACGGCUCACCAAGGCGACGAUCCGUAGCUGGUUUGAGAGGACGACCAGCCACACUGGGACUGAGACACGGCCCAGACUCCUACGGGAGGCAGCAGUGGGGAAUUUUGGACAAUGGGGGCAAUCCUGAUCCAGCCAUCCCGCGUGUGCGCUGAAGGCCUUCGGGUUGUAAAGCACUUUUGGCAGGAAAGAAACGUCGCGGGCUAAUACCCCGUGGAACUGACGGUACCUGCAGAAUAAGCACCGGCUAACUACGUG
rnacentral:rRNA from 1 species